AAAUAGUUAGUUUAAAAAAAACAUUUGAUUUCGACUCAAAAACUUGCGGCUAAUAUCCACAACUGUUUU
rnacentral:tRNA from 1 species